rnacentral:lncRNA from 1 species
UGGUGUACACAAGGUUUACAAGAGCCUGAUUCCAUGAACCUUCAAAGACCUUAUCAGCAAGAACAAGCCCAUGAAUGAGAGUAGUAUAGGUGGCCAAACUGGGUGGAUGCCCUUGCUUGAAGAUGGUUGCCAGUAGGGCAAAACCGUAAGUAACUUGAUUCAGGCGGCAAUGACAGUUAAUAGAGAUAGUCAUGGUAUAAAGAUCG